CUUAAUAAUAUAUAAUCAAUAUUAUUAUUGAAUUGUAUUAUAUUUUAAAUAAACAUAUUUAUAGGUAAUUUAUAUUCAAAAAUAUGAAAAUAUGCAAAAAAAAAAAUGUGAUUAUUUAAUUUUAUAUUUUAAAUCAUAUAAAAUAUGUAUGUACUGUGCACAGUAUAGUGUAUCUAAACUAAUUAUCUAGCUAUUAACCUUAUGGUUAAUAGUAUAGUAAAAUGAAAUUGAGAGUUCAAAUUACAUAAAACUUGUAAAGACAACCUCCUUUAAUUUAAAUUAUGAUUACCUGUGAUAAAUUAGUAAUCAAGAAACUCUUAGGGCCGUUCUUACAAUGUUCGGAUAGUGCUUGAUAAUGCUAACUGGAAGAAUUUAUCGUGAGUUAACCGAUAGAAUUCUACCAGUUAGUUUUAACCGGACAUUGUAAGAAUGGCCCUUAGGGCUUAGAGUAAUAAUAAAUUAAUCAUCUAUGAUGUAUUAGUACAAAAUAUGAAAACUAUAUUUAGCCAUUUAGUAAAUGUAUUUUUAAGAUGCCUAAUAGUUAACCAUUUUAUUUUUAGAUGGUUCAAAUUGUACAAAAUAAUAUAAAAAUCUCAAAAUCCUAUAAACACAACAAACUAAGUUUUAGUAUUCCUUACUAUUUAAAUGAAAAUAUGGUGUCAUAACAAUAAACAAAACUAUUUAAGUGACUAUAUUAACACUACCUAAGAUGAAAUGUUUCAAGAUAAUGAUCAAAUUUAUUUCUCCCAACAAUUUCUUUAACCCUGUCCAAACAGUAAACAGCAGCUUGUUGAAAAGUUGCUUGUACCAUCUUGUUGGAUAAGGCAGUUACAAGGUGUACAAACGUCGUUCUCCAUUUCUUUUAACAAUUUGCUGAAGUACUACAGGAACGCAUUCCAUAACAUUCACAGUGAGACUUGAUUUGGCACCAGAUAUAUCCAAUCCCUGUACGAUCAUGGACUUGAGAACAAAUUCGGGGUCAGC